rnacentral:rRNA from 1 species
GACGAACGCUGGCGGCGUGCUUAACACAUGCCAGUCGAACGGAAAGGCCCUGCUUUUGUGGGGUGCUCGAGUGGCGAACAGGUGAGUAACACGUGAGUAACCUGCCCUUGACUUUGGGAUAACUUCAGGAAACUGGGGCUAAUACCGGAUAGGAGCUCCUGCUGCAUGGUGGGGGUUGGAAAGUUUCGGCGGUUGGGGAUGGACUCGCGGGUUAUCAGCUUGUUGGUGGGGUAGUGGCUUACCAAGGCUUUGACGGGUAGCCGGCCUGAGAGGGUGACCGGCCACAUUGGGACUGAGAUACGGCCCAGACUCCUACGGGAGGCAGCAGUGGGGAAUAUUGCACAAUGGGCGGAAGCCUGAUGCAGCAACGCCGCGUGCGGGAUGACGGCCUUCGGGUUGUAAACCGCUUUCGCCUGUGACGAAGCGUGAGUGACGGUAAUGGGUAAAGAAGCACCGGCUAACUACGUG